UACAGAGGUCUCAAGCGUUUGUUCGGAUUCAUUGGGCGUAAAGGGUGCGUAGGCGGCGCGGUAAGUCGGGUGUGAAAUCUUGGAGCUUAACUCCGAAACUGCAUUCGAUACUGCCGUGCUUGAGGACUGGAGAGGAGACUGGAAUUUACGGUGUAGCGGUGAAAUGCGUAGAUAUCGUAAGGAAGACCAGUGGCGAAGGCGGGUCUCUGGACAGUUCCUGACACUGGAGGAGCGAAAGCGUGGGGAGCGAACAGG
rnacentral:rRNA from 1 species